rnacentral:rRNA from 1 species
GACGAACGCUGGCGGCGUGCUUAACACAUGCAAGUCGAACGGAAAGGCCCUGCUUUUGUGGGGUGCUCGAGUGGCGAACGGGUGAGUAACACGUGAGUAACCUGCCCUUGACUUUGGGAUAACUUCAGGAAACUGGGGCUAAUACCGGAUAGGAGCUCCUGCUGCAUGGUGGGGGUUGGAAAGUUUCGGCGGUUGGGGAUGGACUCGCGGCUUAUCAGCUUGUUGGUGGGGUAGUGGCUUACCAAGGCUUUGACGGGUAGCCGGCCUGAGAGGGUGACCGGCCACAUUGGGACUGAGAUACGGCCCAGACUCCUACGGGAGGCAGCAGUGGGGAAUAUUGCACAAUGGGCGGAAGCCUGAUGCAGCAACGCCGCGUGCGGGAUGACGGCCUUCGGGUUGUAAACCGCUUUCGCCUGUGACGAAGCGUGAGUGACGGUAAUGGGUAAAGAAGCACCGGCUAACUACGUGCCAGCAGCCGCGGUGAUACGUAGGGUGCGAGCGUUGUCCGGAUUUAUUGGGCGUAAAGGGCUCGUAGGUGGUUGAUCGCGUCGGAAGUGUAAUCUUGGGGCUUAACCCUGAGCGUGCUUUCGAUACGGGUUGACUUGAGGAAGGUAGGGGAGAAUGGAAUUCCUGGUGGAGCGGUGGAAUGCGCAGAUAUCAGGAGGAACACCAGUGGCGAAGGCGGUUCUCUGGCCUUUCCUGACGCUGAGGAGCGAAAGCGUGGGGAGCGAACAGGCUUAGAUACCCUGGUAGUCCACGCUGUAAACGGUGGGUACUAGGUGUGGGGUCCAUUCCACGGGUUCCGUGCCGUAGCUAACGCUUUAAGUACCCCGCCUGGGGAGUACGGCCGCAAGGCUAAAACUCAAAGGAAUUGACGGGGCCCCGCACAAGCGGCGGAGCAUGCGGAUUAAUUCGAUGCAACGCGUAGAACCUUACCUGGGUUUGACAUGGAUCGGGAGUGCUCAGAGAUGGGUGUGCCUCUUUUGGGGUCGGUUCACAGGUGGUGCAUGGCUGUCGUCAGCUCGUGUCGUGAGAUGUUGGGUUAAGUCCCGCAACGAGCGCAACCCUUGUUCACUGUUGCCAGCACGUUAUGGUGGGGACUCAGUGGAGACCGCCGGGGCCAACUCGGAGGAAGGUGGGGAUGACGUCAAGUCAUCAUGCCCCUUAUGUCCAGGGCUUCACGCAUGCUACAAUGGCUGGUACAGAGAGUGGCGAGCCUGUGAGGGUGAGCGAAUCUCGGAAAGCCGGUCUCAGUUCGGAUUGGGGUCUGCAACUCGACCUCAUGAAGUCGGAGUCGCUAGUAAUCGCAGAUCGGCAACGCUGCGGUGAAUACGUUCCCGGG